AUUGAACGCUGGCGGCAGGCCUAACACAUGCAAGUCGAGCGGAAGAGCGGAGCUUGCUCCGGGUGCCAGCGGCGGACGGGUGAGGAAUUCCUAGGAAUCUGCCUGUUUGUGGGGGAUAACGUCCGGAAACGGGCGCUAAUACCGCAUACGUCCUGAGGGAGAAAGUGGGGGAUCGUCGGACCUCACGCUAUCAGAUGAGCCGACGUCCGAUUAGCUAGUUGGUGGGGUAAAGGCCUACCAAGGCGACGAUCCGUACCUGGUCUGAGAGGAUGAUCAGUCACACUGGAACUGAGACACGGUCCAGACUCCUACGGGAGGCAGCAGUGGGGAAUAUUGGACAAUGGGCGCAAGCCUGAUCCAGCCAUGCCGCGUGUGUGAAGAAGGCCUUCGGUUUGUAAAGCACUUUAAGUUGGGAGGAAGGGCAUUAAGUUAAUACCUUGCUGGUUUGACGGUACCGGCAGAAUAAGCACCGGCUAACUUCGUG
rnacentral:rRNA from 1 species